UUGUGCAGGAUGGUGUGUAUGUCUGUCCCAGGUUUGAGCAGUUUGCUCUCAGUUUCUGGUAAUGCAGUCAGCUCACAGACCAGUUAACGAGCUCAGCAGAAUCUAAUCUGAUGAUCCAGGUUGUUAUAAGAAUUCCCAGCCUGCUUAGGGUUUGGCUCCACCCUGGAACCCGUUCUGAUGUGAGAUAUCAGGCUGGGGAGUUCUGUGAAAGACUUAUUUUUUUUGGAGGGAAAUGGAAGGAAACAGAGGCUAUCCCUGCAGGAAAUUCGUGCAGCAAAGUCAUCGUGUUUAUCUUAAAAAAGUGAAAUAGCGUGUUAAUUGAAUAAAAUCACAAGUAACAUGACAUAUUAAAGUCUUCAUUUAACCCUUUUGGAUGCCUGGAUUGGAGCAACCAUAUCCAGUAACAUUUGCGCUGUAAUAAAAGUUUCUUAAUGU